AGCAGCCGCGGUAAUUCCAGCUCCAAUAGCGUAUAUUAAAGUUGUUGCAGUUAAAAAGCUCGUAGUUGAAUUUUGGGUCUGGCCGGGCGGUCCGCCCUCUGGGUGAGCACUGUUCCGACGCCGGGCCUAUCCUUCUGGUGAGUCGGCAUGUCCUUUAUUGGGUGUGUCGGGGAACCAGGACCAUUACCUUGAAAAAAUUAGAGUGUUCAAAGCAGGCGUAUGCUCGAAUACAUUAGCAUGGAAUAAUGAAAUAGGACGCGUGGUGCUAUUUUGUUGGUUUCUAGAACCGCCGUAAUGAUUAAUAGGGAUAGUUGGGGGCAUUAGUAUUCAAUUGUCAGAGGUGAAAUUCUUGGAUUUAUUGAAGACUAACUUCUGCGAAAGCAUUUGCCAAGGAUGUUUUCAUUAAUCAAGAACGAAAGUUAGGGGGAUCGAAGACGAUCAGAUACCGCGUAGUCUUAACCAUAAACUAUGCCGACUAGGAAUCGGGCAUGUUAUUCUCAUGACUCGCCCGGUCGCCUU
rnacentral:misc_RNA from 1 species